rnacentral:tRNA from 1 species
AAGCCCAAGUAGUGAGACACACCAAAUUGCAAAUCUGGAAACGCACCCCAAUAAGGUGCCGGGGCUUC